AAUUUCUUGAAGUGCAGCGACAUUCUAUGGCAGCGAACAAUGUGUAUCCACAUAACCUGUAAUAAGUUUUUGUUCGGUGCAGAAACAACCAUGGAAAACGUUAUAUGGAGAAUAUCUCAUUUUGCAUACGAGUAUUUCGCUGAAAAAGAAAAUUCUGUGAAAUCAACAUUUUGGGCUACAUAGUCGUUGUUAAAAUCAACUCUGUUAAUAUAAAACAGCAUAGAUAUAAUCUAAGUACACCAAGUUCUCAAGCAAAAAAUAUAGGUUAUGUUUCCCAGAAAUCAAAUAUAUUUACAAGAGAAAACUUACGAAAAUUUUUAACAGAGGCCCGUGAUUAAUGUACCUAAUGUCAAAGGUAUAUUUUUUAUUCGAAGUUGUAGGAGUAUGCGGAAUGGAAGAAUUUGAACAAUUUUCUUGUAUCUACAUAACCUAUAAUAAGCUUUUAUUAUUAUUACAGAACAGAUUAUUAGCUUAGAUGCCCAUUUUAAAUGAAAAAAGAUCUGCAGCAAUUGCAAAAUAGAGAUGGAUAGCAAUAAUAACAAGCAGUUUACAUGCAUUCGACCGAACUUGCAAAAACUGGCAGAUAAUAUAUCAAAUUUAUUACCUAAAAACUCAGCCACAGUUUAUGAAAAGCGGUAUGAAUUUUUUUUUUGCGCAGAAACAACCAUGCAAAAUAUAUGGAGAACACCUCAUUGCAUACGAGUAUUUCGCUGAAAAAGCAAAUUCUGUGAAAUCUUUAACACUUUGGGCUGCAUAGUCGUAGUUAAAGUCAACUCUGUUAAUAAAAAACAGCAUAGAUAUAUCUAAGUACACCAAGUUUUCAAGCAAAAAAUAUAGGUUACAUUGCCAAGAAAUCAAAUAUAUUUACAAGAGAAGACUUACCAAAAUUUUUAACAGAAGCCCGUGAUUAAAUGUACCUGAUGUUAAAGGUGAUCUCAAACAAGGUCAAUCACAUUGUCUAUAAAUCAUUAUGUUUUAGGUUUAUUUUUUAUUAGAAGUUGUAGGAGCAUGUGGAAUGGAUAAAUUGAAAAAUAACGACGGCAUUCAAGACAAAAACGAUACGCUAAUAAUUAAAAUUCCAACGUCUAAAACUGGCAAAGCACGAGAAUUUACAAAUAUGUGUAAAAAUAUUUAUCCAAUUGAAAUAUAGUAAAAAUACCUAAUUUUAAGACCGCACCAUACACCAGACAAAUCAUUAUUUAUACAUUACAUUUGGAUAGUGAAUGCAGCAGCUGCUGCAUUGUACAAAUAUACCUGCAAACACACUGUAACAAAUUGUGCAGACACCUCUUUUGACUAAAAGAUAUAUAUUUAACUUUAUCCAUACGUUGUCAACUUUGUUAAUAAUUGCAAUCUCUAACUUCAUAAGAAAUAUGAAUAAUCUACUUUGGUGUUUUAUAGUAGUAUUAAAUGUUCAUAGAAUAUAAUUGCACUUACUACGAAGUAAGCUUUCCUAGUUUUAAGUUGUUUUCUUUUCUCUUUGAUUAUCUUAAUUUCU